rnacentral:rRNA from 1 species
AUUGAGCUGCCCUUCCUACGGGAGGCAGCAGUCGGGAAUAUUGGUCAAUGGGUGAAAGCCUGAACCAGCCAUGCCGCGUGCAGGAAGACGGCCUUCUGGGUUGUAAACUGCUUUUAUCUGGGGAUAAAAAGGCCUUGCGAGGCAAACUGAAGGUACCAGAUGAAUAAGCCACGGCUAACUACGUGCCAGCAGCCGCGGUAAUAAGG